rnacentral:sRNA from 1 species
AAGCACGCAAUGGCAACUGCCGGGGUACUGAGCAGUUCAAAAGCCAUCUGGUGAUCGUCAUGGCUA